UGUGACUGGUUUCCGGCCAGUGGUGCCUCACCGGCUUCCCGGAGACGUGUAACGGGUGGUGGGCCACAGCCAUGGCCGAAAGGAAACCUAACGGUGGGGGCGCCGCCUCCACCUCCUUGUCGGGCACUAAUUUACUCUUCUCAUCCUCGGCAACGGAGUUCAGCUUCAAUGUGCCCUUCAUCCCAGUCACCCAAGCCGCCCCUGCCUCGGCCUCCUUGCUCCUGCCCGGAGAGGAUUCCACAGAUGUUGGUGAGGAGGACAGCUUCCUGGGUCAGACUUCUGUUCACACGUCCACCCCACAGACAUUUAGUUACUUCUCUCAGGCCUCAAGCAGCGGCGACCCGUUUGGGAAUAUCGGACAGUCGCCGUUACCAGCUGCGGGGGCAUCAGCUGGCCUGCCGGCGUUCUCCAAGCCCCCAGCUGCGCUCCCUUUCACACCCGGACCCCAAGAUGCGUUUCCACCGUCCAGCUCGAAGGCUCAACAUGGUGCUCCGCCUUCUUCACAGAUGGGAACAAACACUUAUUUGCCUUCUCAGCCGAGUAGUCUCCCUCCUUCAAAUUUUGGGAGCCCGCCCCAAGGAAUGCCCCAACAAGGGUACAAUCCCUAUCGCCAUACUCCCGUGAGCAGCAGAGCUAACCCUUACAUUACACCGCCGCAGCUGCAGCAGUGCCAAACCCCCGGCCACCCCACCCAUCCUCCACCCUCCGGGCCCCCCGCUCACCUGUACCAGACGCCUCCGGGACCUGUGCCGCCGAUCCCUCCUUCCGCGCAGCCAGGGCUGUCCCCUGCAGCACAGCUGCCGGCCCCGCCCAGGCCCGCGGGUCCCGCCGUGCAGGUGCCGCCUCCCUUCUUACUUCAGAACCAGUACGAGCCCGUCCAGCCGCACUGGUUUUACUGCAAGGAGGUCGAAGACAAGCACGUGUGGAUGCCUUUCAGUGUGUUUGACUCUUUGAACCUCGAAGAAGUCUAUAAUUCAGUGCAGCCAGACCCCGAGAGUGUGGUCCUCGGCACGGACGGAGGUCGCUACGAUGUGCACCUCUACGACCGAGUGAGGAGGGCCGUGUACUGGGAAGAGGAGCCCGCCGAAGUGAGGCGCUGCACUUGGUUUUACAAGGGGGACACGGACAGCAGGUUCAUUCCCUAUACGGAGGAGUUCAGUGAAAAACUGGAGGCCGAAUACAAAAAAGCUGUAACCACAAAUCAGUGGCACCGCAGGUUAGAAUUUCCAAGUGGAGAGACAAUUGUUAUGCACAAUCCAAAGGUUAUUGUUCAGUUCCAGCCUUCCUCAGUGCCCGAUGAGUGGGGGACCACACAGGAUGGACAGACGAGGCCCAGGGUUGUAAAGCGCGGGAUUGAUGAUAACCUUGAUGAAAUCCCCGAUGGGGAGAUGCCUCAGGUUGACCACUUGGUGUUCAUGGUACAUGGCAUUGGACCUGUGUGUGACUUGCGCUUCAGAAGCAUCAUUGAAUGUGUGGAUGAUUUUAGGGUGGUUUCACUCAAAUUGCUGCAGACGCAUUUCAAGAAAUCGUUAGAAGAUCGGAAGAUAAGCCGAGUGGAGUUCCUUCCGGUCCACUGGCACAGUGCGUUGGGUGGGGAUGCCACAGGUGUUGACAGGAAUAUUAAGAAAAUCACUUUGUCGAGUAUCGGUCGGUUCCGUCACUUUACCAAUGAAACCUUGCUGGAUAUUCUGUUUUACAAUAGCCCCACCUACUGUCAGAAGAUUGUGGAAAAGGUGGGAAUGGAGAUAAACCGUCUGCACGCACUCUUUAUGAGUCGGAACCCAGACUUCAAAGGAGGGAUCUCUGUUGCUGGUCACAGUUUAGGUUCUUUAAUAUUGUUUGACAUCCUGUGUAAUCAAAAAGAUUUGGCUUCAACCGAGUCUCCAAGGCCUUUUGCAGUUGCUAACGGAGCUGUGAAGCAGCCGCAUUUUCAGGAGAAGCAGAUGCAUGAGGAGCCGAAGCUGACCUUGGAUGAGUCUUGUGACCUUGAUGUUGAAAAUGAAGAAGUCCUAACUUUGCAAGAAACUCUGGCAGCACUUAGCCUCUCUGAAUACGUUAGCACUUUUGAAAAGGAAAAGAUUGAUAUGGAAUCUCUGCUCAUGUGUACAGUUGAUGAUCUGAAGGAAAUGGGAAUACCUCUGGGACCCAGAAAGAAGAUAGCUAACUUUGUAAAACAUAAAGCCAUCAAACUGGAACAGAAGAAAGCGGCCUCAGAAAAGAGGGCGAUGGUGGCGGCGUCGGCAAAGGGACCAGAGGACGGUGCCCAGAAACCGAAGGAAGCGGCGUCCAGGAGGAAACUUCCGGUCGGCGCUUCUGCCUCCUCCGUGCGCGUCGACUACGAGUCUUUUGAGGUCGGCACCGGACAGGUUUCUGUCGUUUACAGCCCAUUAGACUUUGAACCAGAGAUUUUCUUUGCCUUGGGGUCUCCAAUUGGUGUGUUUCUCACUAUUCGAGGAGUGGAUCGGAUAGAGGAGAGCUACAGACUUCCCACCUGCAAAGGGUUCUUCAACAUUUACCAUCCGCUCGACCCAGUGGCGUACAGACUAGAACCCAUGAUUGCUCCAGAUUUGGACCUGACAGCCGUUCUCAUUCCGCAUCACAAAGGCAGAAAAAGGCUUCAUUUAGAGCUGAAAGAAAGCCUCUCCCGCAUGGGCUCCGAUUUGAAGCAGGGCUUCAUCAGCUCUCUGAAAAGCGCGUGGCAGACGUUAAACGAGUUUGCUCGUGCCCACACCUCUUCCGCUCAGUUGCAAGAGGAACUGGAGAAGGUGGCCCAUCAGAUCGAGGAAGAAGAGGAGAAGCGAGUCGUUGAAGCAGAAAAGAUUGUUGAAAGCCCAGAUUUUUCCAAGGAUGAGGACUACUUAGGGAAGGUUGGAAUGCUAAACGGAGGCCGCCGCAUUGACUACGUUCUUCAGGAAAAGCCAAUAGAGAGCUUUAAUGAGUAUCUUUUCGCUCUUCAGAGUCACUUAUGCUACUGGGAAUCUGAAGAUACUGCCCUGUUAUUGCUUAAAGAAAUUUAUCGAACAAUGGACAUUAGCCCCGAACAGCCCCAGCAUUGACUGGACUUCAGUCUCCCUGUAGGGCUUGGACGUCCAUCACUGGUGACCUUGAGCAGAGGGAGAGCGGACUGAGAAUCUUUAAAAUUGGAAUGCAUCUUGAAAUCAGCUGUUGCCUGAAGUUGAGCUCUUCCCAGCGUGGUUUGCAGUUCUGCGGCCGGUCACUGGGGGGCACUGCCGACCUGAGUCUACCUGAGCUCAUUUCUCUGAGAUUUUGUUGGACUGUGCUGGUGGUGUGAACUUAGACCACAAAAUUUGCAGGCGGGACAGGGUGGGUGUAUCAAUUCAAAUACCAAGGAAAUUUUCCCCUCUUCCCAUAAUUAAGGAGGAGGUAUAAAAACUUCUUUGUCAUCCCUUCUGUGGGAAGGGUUAUUUUUUUACCCUUCGUUGAGGUUGUAGCCAUUCGAUUUCCUCACUUUUUGUGAAGGCCUCUGUCUCCUUUUAGAUUUCCUAUCCUGGGCAUCUUUUCUUUGCAUGGUGUAUAAAAUAAUGAUGCAUUAGAUUCACUGAAGUAUGGUGUUUUGCUGUAACUUCAUAGUUUUUACUCUCUGACAGUACAGGUUAUCAGUAGCUGAUAGUCUUGGCAAUUAUUCCAAAUGAAUUUUGAAAUGAUUUAAGUUCCCCAAGAGGUUCUGCCCACAAAACGAACAAAACUCUAAACUACACAGUCCUCAAACUUUAAUAUUACCUAAUAUGAAAAAGUAAGAACCAUGCACAGUUAGUUUGCUCACUGUUCAUUGUUUUAUUUCUUCAUAUACUUUGUUGUAAAGUUUAGGCAAGAAUUUAAGUUCCUAAUACACUCCUGAUACUAUAAAGUAAUUAACUUAAAAUACCAACAGUUCUUCCACACAUGGUUCACUCAAGCACAGAUCGGUUUGCUGAAUUCUUUCACGUUCAUCUCAUUUACUCCUCUCUAUUCCUGUUCUUCAAAAGGCCCCAGAUUAACCUGUCAAGAGCUUUCUUUUACUUGCUCCACUCACUGCCUUAUGAAGACGUCCUGCUAGUUAGCCUCACGGUGCCGCCCUGGCUGCACUUGCGUCCCCUCCCUGCCCAGGGCCCGUGCGAGGGCUGGCGCUCCGGCCCGUGCUGUCCGGGGGCACUUCACAGUACGGGCAGCAUGCUCUUCUGGUUCCGGAAGGAGCGGCAGUGCGUUACUGUUUUAUUACUGUGAGCUCGUGAAGUUCACCACGGAUUCUUCUUCUCCUUUAAGGACUUCCUUGUCUCUCCGGAAAGUCACAGUGUAAAUGUCAUUGCCGAGAAAAUCCUCAGAGGACAUUCCCAGUUCGCUCCUGUGCUGGGUGACAGAAGUGAUGCAUUGACAGUUGCGCAGAUGUAGUUCUCAGAUGCGGGGACUCGUGGGGAAGAAAACACAGAACAAAAAGACAGCGGAAACAGCGCCACGUUCUGACGGUGUAGAUGAGAAAGCGUAACCACCAGAAUGACGCAGGGAGACAUCCCUCCCAUCCGCUGGCGGCACAGUCGUCAGAGCCAUGUGUGCUGCAGAGGGAUCUGUGGCGUGCACAUGGCUGUUUCCGUUUCUCAGAAACCCAUGGUCAGUCCCGUUAAGCUUGCAUUUUUUGUUGUAGUAUGUUCUUUUAUUCGAGUAUGGAUUUCUUGAGGAACUAUAGAAAUAUGAUUUAAAAAAUGUAUGUUCUACUUUAAACGUGAAUUGUUCUGAGAUGCUUUACUGUAGGGUCAUUUGUGUUUGUUAAGAGGCAGUCACCGAGAUCGUUUAUACUCCAAGUUGAAGCGGAGUUUGCGUGGAGCCUUGGGAGCCGUCGCCCGGCGCUUGGCUGGGGAAGGGGGCACACAGGAGCCCUCGGCAGCUCUCCCCGCAGCACACCCGCCGCCACUGGGGGGGGACGGGACACGGGGGAGGGUUCCCUCGGGGUUCUGGGGGGCGGCUGCAAGGUCGCCUCAUCGCUGCAGUUCCAGUUAAUGUGAGAGCCAAACUAGAGAUUUCAUGGUCUGUGGUCUUUUUUGCUUUGUAUGAAUUAAUUUCACUGACACCAAAGUAUUCGAAAGUAUGAAAUGUAUUGCUUCUGGACCAUGAAUCUGCGUCAUGAAAAGACUGUUCUGUAAUACUUCAUUUUGUUUUACUAUAUCUUCAAAUUAUCUUAACUAUUUUCCUAAUACUACAUGGGAAUGCUGAUUUUUCUUCUUUUGUUAUGCAGUAGAAACAUUUUACACUGUUUACAUAGUUCUCAUGGGACAUAGAAUUUUUUGAAAGCAACAUAUGAUACACAUUUUUGUGUAUAUAUUCUAAUUAGUGUGAAUAAAAAGUAACAUCAGUGCAUUUUUUUAAGCAGCAAACUUCUGUUUCUCUUGUCUUCCUUGAAAGUAUUCCUGUGAAUUCUCCAUUUCUUUACUUUUCACUGUGAGUACGUGCUAUAUGCAGGUAAUACAUAGUAUUUGCUUCUAAUGAUGGAAUUAGGACAGCAGAAUUUCAGGGCUGCCGUCGACCCCGGACAACGUGUAUUCCACGCACCUCGGUGUGGAGCUGAGCGCACGCCGCUCAGGGGCGUUCUCGGGCUGCUGGCGGCGGGCCGCGCCAGGCUGCAGUCUCCCUGCCUCCCUCCACCUUCGGUUCUUGGUCCAAUGUGCCCGCUUUUCCUUCCUCCUCCACUCGGCUUCCCCACACCGAUGACAUGCAGAAAAAUGAGGGUUAUUUAUGUAUAUUUUAAUAAAAUCUAGUGUGAUUUUGCAAAUUA